CCCCACUGCUAUCGGGGUGGGACUAAAACAUGCAAGUCGAGCGCCUCCAAGCUAUGGUGAAGGCGCGGCAAACGGCUCAGUAACACGUGGCCAACCUACCCUUGGGACGGAGACAACCCCGGGAAACUGGGGCUAAUCCCCGAUAGGUAAGGAAUCCUGGAAUGGAUCUUUGCUGAAAGGGCGUCUAGACCAUGCUUCUUGACGUCGCCCAAGGAUGGAGCCGCGGCCGAUCAGGUAGUUGGCGAGGCAACGGCUCACCAAGCCUAUAACCGGUACGGGCCGUGAGAGCGGGAGCCCGGAGAUGGGCACUGAGACAAGGGCCCAGGCCCUACGGAGCGCAGCAGUUGCGAAAACUCCGCAAUGCGCGAAAGCGUGACGGGGCUACCCCGAGUGCCGCCCGUUGAGGGCGGCUUUUCCACGGUGUAAGGAGCCGUGGGAAUAAGGAGAGGGCAAGACUGGUGUCAGCCGCCGCGGUAAUACCAGCUCUCCGAGUGGUGGGGACGAUUAUUGGGCUUAAAGCGUUCGUAGCCGGCUUAACAAGUCUUCCGUUAAAUCCAACGAUUCAAUCGUUGGGCUGCGGGGGAUACUGUCCGGCUAGGGGGCGGGAGAGGCCGACGGUAUCCUCGGGGUAGGGGUGAAAUCCUAUAAUCCCGGGAGGACCACCAGUGGCGAAGGCUGUCGGCUAGAACGCGCUCGACGGUGAGGGAUGAAAGCUGGGGGAGCGAACCGGAUUAGAUACCCGGGUAGUCCCAGCUGUAAACGAUGCAGGCUAGGUGUUGGCGCGGCUACGUGCCGCUCCAGUGCCGCAGGGAAGCCGUUAAGCCUGCCGCCUGGGAAGUACGGCCGCAAGGCUGAAACUUAAAGGAAUUGGCGGGGGAGCACCACAAGGUGUGAAGCUUGCGGUUU
rnacentral:rRNA from 1 species